rnacentral:rRNA from 1 species
UACGGAGGGUGCAAGCGUUAUCCGGAUUCACUGGGUUUAAAGGGUGCGUAGGUGGAUCGGUAAGUCCGUGGUGAAAUCCCCGAGCUUAACUUGGGAACUGCCGUGGAUACUAUCGAUCUUGAAUACUGUGGAGGUAAGCGGAAUAUGUCAUGUAGCGGUGAAAUGCUUAGAUAUGACAUAGAACACCGAUAGCGAAGGCAGCUUGCUACACAGUUAUUGACACUGAGGCACGAAAGCGUGGGGAGCAAACAGG